rnacentral:rRNA from 1 species
UACGGGGGGGGCAAGCGUUGUUCGGAAUUACUGGGCGUAAAGGGCGCGUAGGCGGCCUUCUAAGUCGGACGUGAAAUCCCUCGGCUUAACCGAGGAACUGCGUCCGAUACUGAAAGGCUUGAAUCCGGGAGAGGGAUGUGGAAUUCCAGGUGUAGCGGUGAAAUGCGUAGAUAUCUGGAGGAACACCGGUGGCGAAGGCGGCAUCCUGGACCGACACUGACGCUGAGGAGCGAAAGCCAGGGGAGCAAACGGG